UUACCGCGGUCAUCGAUUAACCCGAGCUAACAGGAAUUGGGCAUAAAGCGUGUUAAAGCAUUACAUCAAAUAGAGUUAAAUUUUAAUUAAACUGUAAAAAACCAUAAUUACAACAAAAAUAAAUGACGAAAAGGGACCCUACAACAGCUGACACCCCAUAGCUAAGACCCAAAAUCGGUUAGAUACCCCCACUAUGCUUAGCCCUAGACACAAAUAAUAUAAGAACCAAAAAUUUUUUCCCAAGUUCCCAC
rnacentral:rRNA from 1 species